rnacentral:tRNA from 1 species
CAGAACGUAGCUUAACAGCUUAAAGCAUCUCCCUUACGCUGAGAAAACACCCGUGCAAAUCGGGUCGUCCUGA